UUUCCGUAGGUGGACCUGCGGAAGGAUCAUUCAUAAUAAAGUGUUUUAUGGCACUUUUUAAAAAUCCAUAUCCACCUUGUGUGCAAUGUUAGAUCUCGUCAAUCUUGGCGAGAUUUUUAUACAUCAACUCAUUCUUUAACUAAUUUGUCUGAAAAAUAUUAUGAAUACUUAAUUCAAAAUGCAACUUUCAACAACGGAUCUCUUGGCUCUCGCAUCGAGAAGAACGCAGC
rnacentral:misc_RNA from 1 species